CGCAAUUUUCUAUCCAAUCAGCACUAAUCCCAAAUUAAAUGGCCACGCCCAUAUUAACGCCCUGUUCCGGUUUUUUAACCAAUCAGUGGGCUUCCCUCUUGUUCGCACCUGAUCCUUGAUUGCCAAACAUAUUAACCAUGUUGUCACCAAGCUAACGCUUAUUUUAAGCUUCGCAGAUAAAGUUAUGGUUUGUUAAGCUUUUAUUUGUUGACAUUUUCUAGAAAAUGUUAUGUUUAUGAAGUGUAAAAACGACCCCUGCCUUCUAAACUGCACGUCAAUUUGAUUCUAAUCUGCCCCAGUUUUAGGCCCUGUCUGACAUCUUCCGCCCGGUGGAAUUGAACUCCCACUAAGUAGCUGCGGACUCUCUUACCUCCUCCCACCGGAGACACUGGCGGUGGCCACACCCCUCCGACUUUCAGAUUCCAUGUGGCCCUGCGAUGAGAUGGUGACUGAUGCCUACUCAGACUUUUUCUGUCCAGGUCCCUGCGGCGUUCCCAAGCCAGCCGGGAGACAGUCUUCCCAAUGUGUCCUGUGUCUUCCCAAUAUGUCGUGGGUCUUCCUCGUGGCCUCCUACUGGUCGGAGGUGCCGUAAACACCUCCCUAGGGAGGCGUUCGGGUGGCAUCCUGACCAGAGGCCCGAACCACCUCAUCUGGCUCCUCUCCAUGUGGAGGAGAAACGGCUUUACUUUGAGUUCCUCCCGGAUGGCAGAGCUUCUCAUCCUAUCUCUAAGGGAGAGCCCCGCCAACGCCAGAGGAAACUCAUUUCGACCGCCUGUACCCGUGAGGAUUGUAACGUAUAUCGACCAGUAAAUUGAGAGCUUUGCCUUCCGGCUCAGCUCCUCCUUCACCCCAACAGAUCGAUACAGCGUCCGCCUUACUGAAGACGCCGCAACGAUCCUCCUGUCGAUCUCACGAGCCGCUCUUCCCUCACUCCUGAACAAGACUCUGAGGUACUUGAAGUCCUCUACACAGGGCAAGAUCUACUGCAAUUUAUUUUCUUGAUGUCUUUUAGUAUUUCUUACAGCCCAAAUGUGAUUAGUUUUGUGUCAUGUCUCUGUUAUAUAUAUAUAUAUAUUUUUUUAAACAAUAUUGGACAAUUGAAUGAACAACCUGCAAGACUUAUUUGCCAAGCUUUGUAGGACUUGUUCAGGACUCUCCUUCAGAGCCAAUGAAAAAAAAAACUAUAACCCAUCGAUUAGUUCAAGUGACAUAAACAAUCAUCGUUCACUCGCAAGGAAAAAAGCUAACAAGUAGUGAAUUGAAUUAUAUUCAUAUAGCGCUUUUUCUCUAGUGACUCAAAGUGCUUUACGUAGUGAAACCCACAAUAUAAGUUAUAUUUAAACCAGUGUGGGUGGCACUGGGAGCACGUGGGUGAAGUGUCUUUCCCAAGGACACAACGGCAGUGACUUGGCUAGCGGAAGCAGGGAUCGAACCUGGAACCCCCAAGUUGCCGGCACGGCCACUCUACCAACUGAGCUAUACAGCCCCCCCAGAUAGUCGACAGGAGCUGUGGUUAAGAGAGUUGACAUAGUCUGCUCGACCCUGACAAAGAGCUUCAAGUUGAGAUGGUCAAGGUGUUUGUAAUUACAAUAAAUAUUGAAAUGACACAAAUAAAACUGCCAUUUGAGCAAUAAAAACUUGAAAAUACUUUCCUCAUAUUGUGCUUAUGAAUACCCCCCAAGAGACUUAAUUUCUUGCAUGCGUUAUGAUUGAUGGGGGGAAAAGUUGGUUUAACAAAGCCACCGAGCACUCGUCUGUCUCUGUGACAACGUGGCCUUGUGUCCGUCAUUUCCCUUUCUCAUAAUUCUCAGCUUGUUCUUUCACAGCUCUUGUUACCAUGACGGCAGCAUGAGAGGGGGCGCUUCAGUGACAGUGAACGUUUGGCAAGCGGAUUCUGUGUCUAACAAAUGCAUAAGAAGUCCAAGGCCAGCUGUCUGUGCAUGCCAGCAGCCAUGAGCGGCGCACUUUGCCAUGCUCAGAGCUCACAACGGUGACUCAGAGCUGUUGAAAAAUGUAUCACACUUAAAUGGUGCCAGGCCAUGUGUCGUCACCAUUUAACUGCAUCUGCUGUGGGGCCUGCAGAC